UUCUUCCUCGUACAAUCUCCUCUGACGUCACCACCCUUGACCACCUCUUGACCACUUGUCUACCACCCUAACGCCGCCGCCGAAAAUCGCCUCACGGUGGCGGCCGGUCACCAAACCUUCCCAUAUUUACACCACCAAACCAUCACAACCCCCUUUUUCCCGUCCUGUAAUCGAUUUCCAUCAAAUAAGUCUCCUCCGUCUCGAAUACUCAAAAUUAAGGUCGUUGGAACCACCGUCUCCGGUGACCUUGCUCUAAACCUCCCCACCUUUACACCUUAGGACCACCAGGACCUCCCCUUCCCCGUCCUGCAGUCCUUUCCCUUAAAAUGACCCCCCAUCGUCUCAAAUCUUCACAGAAAGGUCGUCGGAACCCUAUCUCCGGCGACCCAACUCCAAACCCCUCCAAAUUUACACCCCUGAAACAAUUCAACCUCCUAUUUCCAACCAUAUGUGUCACACCCUUCAAAUCCAGUCAAAACAUGUCGAAUAUUAAUUUGAUGUUCAACCCUAAAACUCAACCAUGUCGGAAUUUGGUCCGGAUCAUCUCAGACAGUCCCCGUCUGUUUCUUUCCCCAACCGUACCCCCCACAACCCCCAAAUACCACCAAUCACUGAGAAAACUCACAUCUGAGACCUCAUAGGGUCUCAGAAUCACAAGUUCCAUGUCAUAAAAUCCUGAACCUGUUAUCUGCAAGGCCCAUAGCCCUAGAAAUUUAAAGACCCUCUGCAGAAGGGGUCAGGAACCAACGAAAUGGUAUCGAGUGGAUAUGCAUAUGUAAAACAAAAGCUAAGUACUCUGUCUUUGCUUGUAUACAUUUGCUUCAUUUUUGUUAAUUGUUAAGAUGCUUUGAUUCCUUGUUUGUUUUUCCACAAUCUCAUAUGAAAUAGGUUCAUUAGUUAUAUGCAUUUGGUUGUUAUUAGUUUGAAAACCCUUCGUCUCUUGAAUGAUUUGAUAUCCUGUUAGUAUAGCUCCUUCAUUCUCAAAGCCUAGUUUGUUGAUUCUUCAGUAGUGUGAUUCCUAUACUUUGUUGACCUUCAUCACAUGAUCUUCAUUUGUUUAAUCCUCUGAUCUUCUGAUUAGUUUGGUUAGUUGUUCAUGCUAUUAAGUGUUUGAUUUUCAUAGAAAUUUUAAUUUUCAGUACUGGUAUUAGUUUAGGCUGAUUUGUUUGGUUGGACCGUUAAUUGCUAAUGUUAGCUUUACUUUUCUAAUUUGAUUCAUGAACUAAGUGUUCACUUCCUGCUGUAUGCUUCUCAUUUUCAAGAUCUAUGAGUACUUUAAUUGGUUUAUUCCUGCAAGUUAAGUGUUGAGGUAUAGUUCCCCUAUUCUAGGCAUUUUGAUUUAUUGCUUUUGAUAUAGAAUGAUCAUCAUGUAUAAUGUUUGGUUAUUGGAAAAUCACAUUAAGGCACUUGUUUUAAAACCUGAAUAGUUUUGGCUAAUUUUGUACUUUAAUAAGCCUGUUAGUCCAAGACUAAAAUAUGACCUAAAAAAAAAGUAAAUUGACCUGGGUUAAUCAUAACCAGACCAGAUGACAAACUAAGGUUAAAAUUUCAUGUUGGUUAUUUAGGAAAGAAAUAGGGGUAUAAGAGGUAUUUGAGCUUUAAGAGAAUCUGAUAAUAACCUCCAGAACCUUCUAAUAAAGGACUAAUACACAAUUUCAGCCUCAAACUUGAGGCACAAGUAAGGAAAUGAGGGAUCAUUUAAAAAAAGCUGAAAACUAACUCAGGGACUAAAAGGAGAAAACAAAGGAAAAAUGGUGCCCUAAGGCUCCACUAUAAAAGAAACCAUCUGAGCAUUUUUUAAAGGAUCUGAAACUUUUCUUUUGAAUUCUAGAAAGAAAAAUACACAUUGGUUCUUCCUAUAUCUAUGAGAAACUAUCAGUGUUGUUCUUAUUCUUCUGGGAUUUUAAUAGAAUCUUUCUUUUGAAUUCUAUAGAGAAAAAUACAUAGUCUUCCUAUAUAUGUGAUAAACAAUCAGUUCUAAUUCUUAUUCCUUUAAGAUUUUUAAAUCCCUCAAAAUCUGUUGAAACCAUGUGUAUACUGUUCGAUUGGUUUGCUAUUUUGCUUGGCUG
rnacentral:lncRNA from 1 species